rnacentral:pre_miRNA from 1 species
GUACUACUCCCUUCGUCCGAAAAUACUUGUCAUCAAAAUGGAUAAAAGGGGAUGUAUCUAGACGUAUUUUAGUUCUAGAUACAUCUCUUUUUAUCCAUUUUAAUGACAAGUAUUUUCGGACGGAGGGAGUACUGU